rnacentral:rRNA from 1 species
AAUGAACGUUGGCGACGUGGAUUAGGCAUGCAAGUCGAGCGAGAACCAAGGGUGCUUGCACCUGCGGGGACAGCGGCAGACGGGGUAGUCAUACAUAGGUUACGUACCCUCAGGUCUGGGAUAGCCACGGGAAACUGUGAUUAAUACCGGAUAAUCUCUGCGGAGCAAAGGUGUGAUUCCGCCUGAGGAGCGGCUUAUGCGUUACUAGGUUGUUGGUGAGGUAAUGGCUCACCAAGCCUUUGAUGACCAGGGGGUGUGAGAGCAUGGCCCCCACCACUGGGACUGAGACACUGCCCAGACACCUACGGGUGGCUGCAGUCGAGAAUCUUCGGCAAUGGACGCAAGUCUGACCGAGCGACGUCGCGUGCGGGAUGAAGGCCCUCGGGUUGUAAACCGCUGUCAGAGGGGAGGAAAUCAUAGAAGGCUAUCCUUUUAUGUUUGACCGAGCCUCAGAGGAAGCACGGGCUAAGUUCGUGCCAGCCGCCGCGGUAAU